CCAAUAUGACUAUAUGCAAAUGCA
rnacentral:siRNA from 1 species